UACGAAGGGGGCUAGCGUUGCUCGGAAUCACUGGGCGUAAAGCGCACGUAGGCGGACUCUUAAGUCUGCUGUGAAAUCCCCGGGCUCAACCUGGGAAUGGCAGUGGAUACUGGCAAGCUAGAGUGCGGUAGAGGGUAGUGGAAUUCCCGGUGUAGCAGUGAAAUGCGUAGAGAUCGGGAGGAACACCAGUGGCGAAGGCGGCUACCUGGACCAGCACUGACACUGAAGCACGAAAGCGUGGGGAGCAAACAGG
rnacentral:rRNA from 1 species